GUUAAAGUACUUGUAACCCAGUAGAGAAUUGGGUCCAAUUCUAUCUUUAUUUUUCUAUAGUUUCCUUAUUUAUCUCAUUUUCAUUUGUUAAUCAAUCUGUCAAUGACUUAUUUUACACACACAGUCCUUAUUUGUCAUAUCAACUAGAGCAAACUUAUGAUUGGUUAGAGGGAGUUAAGUCCCACCCUCUCUUUACGCAGAAGUCAGUGAGUUGCAGUGCGGGUAAAACAGCAGCGGUCGGAGUGGAUGAGAAAUAGAGAGUUAGAAGAGCGAUUAUUAACAUAUCCAUGAGAUAAAAUAGUCUUGUGAAGACGUCAGAGGUGUGCGAGGGUCCGUGAGCCAGGAGUAGUAGUACUUUUGGCAUUAUCGUCUUGGCUGGGUUUUUUUGAGAACAAGAGAACUGGAUCUGGAUUCUCCCUGUGGAUGGGAGAUGGCGAGCCCCCAGUGAGAUCUCUUCUUAACCUAAGGAGUGAGGAACCGAGACCUGAGAAGAGGACCUGGUAUCUUUUUUUGCUUCCACUCAAGUAUCAGUGUGGUAGGACCACCACACAUCCGACUACUUGAAUUUUUCCCCCUGACUUGACAUAAAACAUUGACUUGAGCGCGCUGACUGAUAUUGCAAAGACAUUAAAGGGACAUUACACUCAUGGACCAUUUUUAGCUUGGAAUCCAGCUGAUAUAAUACAUCCAUGCUCGCGGCUUGCGGAAAAAAUAGACCAGACGCCAAAACUAUUGCUGCACAGUGCAAGCCGGCCACGAAGCUCCGCCCAACAGUUUUGGAAAGCACAGACAAAUGAUGUUGUCCUGUUGAUUACUGUUGAUGAGAAUUACUGAUUCGAUUAUCACCCCGCAAUGAAAGUCACCAGCUUCUUUUUCUCUGGCCACACCCUUAUUUUAUCAUUCUGCUCUGCCUCCAUUGCCAUUUGUCCUUUGCGACUUGGCUGGCCUUACUGCUUCUCCUACCUAGCCAGCUUAACUGCUUCUGCAUAAGAUACUUUUUCUUCCACUCGUAUUUGUUGGAGUUCUGCCUCACGUCUCAUUGCUUCACAACCUCAAUAUGCAACGCUAUGUUUCCCUCCAUAGUGGCAGCAUUUUGGUUGUACUACUUCCCCACACUUUCCAUAUUCAUGUUCUCAUCCACACCUAGCACAUCUUUUCUUUCCUUUGCACACCUUUGUUACAUGCCCAAAUUCUUGCCAGUUGAAAAAUCUCAUGGGUUUUGGAAUAUAUUCCCUUACACUAUAUUUAACAAAUCCAAAAUAUAGUCCCCUUGAGAUAUCCUUUACAUCGAAGUCUACAAGAACUGUUUCAAUUUCCUUUUUAUCACUCCCUUUUGUCAUUCUUUUAGCACCCUUGACUGCACUGUUGCGUACCCGCAAGUUCUCAACAAGAUCCUUCAUAUAAACACCAAGGGGCACUCCAGAUAUCACACCCUUGUCGCCAUUGGGCCUGUGCUCUCCCACUUUUACCACUUUAGACACCUUGACUUUUCCGAAAGUAGCCAGCUUCUUUGCCCUCUCCAUCUGCACAUCACUAUUACACCCAAUUAACAGAUUUCCAUCUCCCAGAAUCCUUGCAAAUUUCACUGCUCCAACUUGUGCUCUUAUGAUUUUUGUUUUGUUGUUUUAACAGGUCUUUACUUUACAGGUUUCUUUACUCCUGCCUCUCCUUCAAAUCUUUCCACUACAUUUAGUAUUGUUGCCUUCAGAUUCUCACCUUCCUCUCCCUUUUCCUCACUCUCAGUUUCACCCAAACUAGUUUCGUCCUUUUUCUUUCUCUUACGAUGAGUCGACUUCCUCCCCACUUCUUUCCACUCGUCAUCCCUCCUACCAUCAUCUCUACUUGCCUCCUCCUCACUCAUCUCCAUGCUAUUGCAGCUAUCACUAUCUGCCUCCCUCCCCGCCAUCCUAACCGAUAAUUCAGCUCCCGGUAAAAACAUCCUGAACAAUGAACACUGGAGUAAUCCUAACCCGGAGAAACUAGUUGUUUAACAAUGAAGAAAACAACUCCCACGAUCCCAUGCUACUUCACACUGUUUUCACACCAUUAUCACACUCCUUCUUUUGUUAUUGUUUUGAUUGAGAGACCCCUAGUGCCUGAAAUUUCAUAUUGUGAGUUUAAAUGUUUGGUUUUGUAUUUGUUAUUUGUACUUAUUUUGGUUUAUGGUUUACUUGGGUUUUCCAGAUGGCAGUGAGGAAAUUCAAUCUGAGGAUUUUAUUACUUUUGUUAAAAUGGUUUGCCGAUGUUGUCUUUGCCUUCUCACUGACGAGGCUGACUGACAUGUUGCUGCUCCCUCCCUUUGUCAUUGUUUUAAAAGGUCUUAAUUGUAUUGCAUGCAAAUGAAGAGAUUUGCUUUUUGCCCAUUAUCUAUUCAUAUAAGAAAAUGAACAGAACAUUAGUGGGUCAUAAAAUUAGGGAGGGGAGGGAAACGGAGAGGAGGGGUGAGAGACAGACAGUGAUGAUCAGUAGAUACUGAAUAAAAGAGAACGGGCAGCUUCACACUAUGAUGCUGUAGUGUCUCUUUGAGAUUGUACUAAAAACAAUCCUUUCACCCCCAUGUCUAAACUGUGUGAGUGUCAGUAUGUGUGUAUGUAAUACUGUAGGUCAAGGCUGAUAAUUAGUGUGAUUACUGCAAGCAAUCACACUAUUGUAGCAACUUCCAAUGGUAGCAGCAGCAGCAGCAGCUGGCAGCAGCUAUCUACAACAGCUGGCACAUGUCUGCCUGGACAGUGGAGUAUGAUUUUUCACCUGUCUUCACACAGCAAAUCAAUAGGUCAAUGAGUUCCUUUUUGCUUUGCUUGGUAGCAUAGGCAAAAUCAUCUACACUACACUACAUCUGUACUGUUGCUAAAAUAGUCUCUCAUUUCAGUGGCAAGUCCACGUUUCUGAGAGUGGAGCUGGAUUUGUGAUUCUUGUGCUUCAAAUUACACGGCAAGUUUCAUUUUACAUUGAAAGCAGUGCAACAGGACACGGAAGCUGGGCAAGCAUGGAGGAGUGUAAGCUAGGCUAACUGUUAACCCAUACAAACCAGCAGUUUCAACAAUAAUGCUGCCCAAUGUUGUCUGGACUGCAAAAUGGAUUAUUUCACUCCCCCAUCAGUGCUGGUCACUCGUUGACAUGGAAGAGCUGUCUAGAUCGAACUGAGACAUGUACUUUCUUUAUCCUUUCUGUUGUUGCACUGCUGUGGGCUGGGAGGACCAGCAUUUCUUUUUUU